GAUGAACGCUGGCGGCGUGCCUAAUACAUGCAAGUCGUGCGAACGGACGAGAAGCUUGCUUCUCUGAUGUUAGCGGCGGACGGGUGAGUAACACGUGGAUAACCUACCUAUAAGACUGGGAUAACUUCGGGAAACCGGAGCUAAUACCGGAUAAUAUUUUGAACCGCAUGGUUCAAAAGUGAAAGGCGGUCUUGCUGUCACUUAUAGAUGGAUCCGCGCUGCAUUAGCUAGUUGGUAAGGUAACGGCUUACCAAGGCAACGAUGCAUAGCCGACCUGAGAGGGUGAUCGGCCACACUGGAACUGAGACACGGUCCAGACUCCUACGGGAGGCAGCAGUAGGGAAUCUUCCGCAAUGGGCGAAAGCCUGACGGAGCAACGCCGCGUGAGUGAUGAAGGUCUUCGGAUCGUAAAACUCUGUUAUUAGGGAAGAACAUAUGUGUAAGUAACUGUGCACAUCUUGACGGUACCUAAUCAGAAAGCCACGGCUAACUACGUGCCAGCAGCCGCGGUAAUACGUAGGUGGCAAGCGUUAUCCGGAAUUAUUGGGCGUAAAGCGCGCGUAGGCGGUUUUUUAAGUCUGAUGUGAAAGCCCACGGCUCAACCGUGGAGGGUCAUUGGAAACUGGAAAACUUGAGUGCAGAAGAGGAAAGUGGAAUUCCAUGUGUAGCGGUGAAAUGCGCAGAGAUAUGGAGGAACACCAGUGGCGAAGGCGACUUUCUGGUCUGUAACUGACGCUGAUGUGCGAAAGCGUGGGGAUCAAACAGG
rnacentral:rRNA from 1 species